rnacentral:rRNA from 1 species
UGGGGAAUAUUGGACAAUGGGCGCAAGCCUGAUCCAGCAAUGCCGCGUGUGUGAAGAAGGCCUUCGGGUUGUAAAGCACUUUUAUCAGGAGCGAAACGCUGUCGGCUAAUACCCGGCGGAACUGACGGUACCUGAGGAAUAAGCACCGGCUAACUUCGUGCCAGCAGCCGCGGUAAUACGAAGGGUGCAAGCGUUAAUCGGAAUUACUGGGCGUAAAGCGUGCGUAGGCGGUUUCUUAAGUCUGCUGUGAAAUCCCCGGGCUCAACCUGGGAAUGGCAGUGGAUACUGGGAGGCUAGAGUGUGUCAGAGGGUGGUGGAAUUCCCGGUGUAGCGGUGAAGUGCGUAGAGAUCGGGAGGAACAUCAGUGGCGAAGGCGGCCACCUGGGACAACACUGACGCUGAGGCACGAAAGCGUGGGGAGCAAACAGGAUUAGAUACCCUGGUAGUCCACGCCCUAAACGAUGCGAACUGGAUGUUGGUCUCAACUCGGAGAUCAGUGUCGAAGCUAACGCGUUAAGUUCGCCGCCUGGAGAGUACGGUCGCAAGACUGAAAGCUCAAAUGAAUGACGGGGUCAUAGCUGUUUGCCUG